rnacentral:rRNA from 1 species
CGCGCAGGCGGCCUUUUAAGUUGGAUGUGAAAGCCUACGGCUCAACCGUAGAACUGCAUCCAAAACUAUCAGGCUAGAGUGUGGGAGAGGAAGAUGGAAUUAGUUGUGUAGGGGUAAAAUCCGUAGAGAUAACUAGGAAUACCAAAAGCGAAGGCAAUCUUCUGGAACAUUACUGACGCUGAGGCGCGAAAGCGUGGGGAGCAAACAGGAUUAGAUACCCUGGUAGUCC